rnacentral:rRNA from 1 species
UACGUAGGGUCCGAGCGUUGUCCGGAAUUAUUGGGCGUAAAGGCUCGUAGGCGGUCCGUCGCGUCGGGAGUGAAAACACGGAGCUUAACUCCGAGCCUGCUUCCGAUACGGGCAGACUAGAGGUAGGCAGGGGAGAGCGGAACUCCUGGUGUAGCGGUGGAAUGCGCAGAUAUCAGGAAGAACACCGGUGGCGAAGGCGGCUCUCUGGGCCUUACCUGACGCUGAGGAGCGAAAGCGUGGUAGCGAACAGG